rnacentral:rRNA from 1 species
AACGUAGGUGGCGAGCGUUAUCCGGAUUUACUGGGCGUAAAGCGCGUGCAGGCGGUCCGGUCAGUCGGAUGUGAAAUCUCUCGGCUCAACCGAGAGGGGCCAUUCGAUACUUCCGGACUUGAGGGCAGUAGAGGAAGGUGGAAUUCCCGGUGUAGUGGUAAAAUGCGUAGAGAUCGGGAGGAACACCAGUGGCGAAGGCGGCCUUCUGGGCUGCCCCUGACGCUCAGACGCGAAAGCUAGGGGAG